GGAUCAUUACCGAGUUAUACAACUCAUCAACCCUGUGAACAUACCUAUAACGUUGCCUCGGCGGGAACAGACGGCCCCGUAGCACGGGCCGCCCCCGCCAGUGGACCCCCUAACUCUGUUUCUAUAAUGUUUCUUCUGAGUAAACAAGCAAAUAAAUUAAAACUUUCAACAACGGAUCUCUUGGCUCUGGCAUCGAUGAAGAACGCAGCGAAAUGCGAUAAGUAAUGUGAAUUGCAGAAUUCAGUGAAUCAUCGAAUCUUUGAACGCACAUUGCGCCCGCCAGUAUUCUGGCGGGCAUGCCUGUUCGAGCGUCAUUACUACCCUCAGGCCCCCGGGCCUGGCGUUGGGGAUCGGCGGAAGCCCCCUGCGGGCACAACGCCGUCCCCCAAAUACAGUGGCGGUCCCGCCGCAGCUUCCAUUGCGUAGUAGCUAACACCUCGCAACUGGAGAGCGGCGCGGCCACGCCGUAAAACACCCAACUUCAAGUUGACCUCGAAUAGUAGGAAUACCCCGUGAACCUAAGCAUAUCAAUAAAGCGAGGAAAAUCUCUGCGGCCUGGCGGCCGGGGAGCAUGCUACUUUGGGCCCAAUUUCCUAUAGUGAUCGAAUUCAUUACUGGGCCGUUUUUACAAAUUUUGAAUGGAAAUAGAUUUUGAGGAAUUAUCUUUACAAUAGUUACUAUACGAUAACUCCCUUACAUUUCUCUCUAACCCUUAACACCUGCAACACUCCCCCACCCGCUCCUUUCACACCCGCACCCUCCUCGCUGCUUAACCUUCCACAUAACUAUCCAUCAUCAUAUUCCUCACACCGUCCCUUGUUCCUGCCCCUACUCUUCUGAAACUCCUAUGGGGG
rnacentral:rRNA from 1 species